rnacentral:rRNA from 1 species
AUUGAACGCUGGCGGCAGGCCUAACACAUGCAAGUCGAGCGGAGCGGCGGACGGGUGAGUAAUGCCUAGGAAUCUGCCUGCUAGUGGGGGAUAACGUACGGAAACGGGCGCUAAUAACGCAUACUAUCAGUUGAACCUAGGUCGGAUUAGUUCGGUGGUGGGGUAAAGGCCUACCAAGGCGACGAUCCGUAACUGGUCUGAGAGGAUGAUCAGUCACACUGGAACUGAGACAAGGUCCAGACUCCUACGGGAGGCAGCAGUGGGGAAGAUUGGAAAAUGGGCGAAAGCCUGAUCCAGCCAUGCCGCGUGUGUGAAGAAGGUCUGCGGAUUGUAAAGCACUUUAAGUUGGGAGGCGUUACCAACAGAAUAAGCACCGGCUAACUUCGUGCCAGCAGCCGCGGUAAUUC